rnacentral:rRNA from 1 species
GAGUUUGAUCAUGGCUCAGAUUGAACGCUGGCGGCAUGCCUUACACAUGCAAGUCGAACGGCAGCACGGGGGCAACCCUGGUGGCGAGUGGCGAACGGGUGAGUAAUACAUCGGAACGUGUCCUGUAGUGGGGGAUAGCCCGGCGAAAGCCGGAUUAAUACCGCAUACGAUCUGUGGAUGAAAGCGGGGGAUCCUUCGGGACCUCGCGCUACAGGGGCGGCCGAUGGCAGAUUAGCUAGUUGGUGGGGUAAAGGCCUACCAAGGCGACGAUCUGUAGCUGGUCUGAGAGGACGACCAGCCACACUGGGACUGAGACACGGCCCAGACUCCUACGGGAGGCAGCAGUGGGGAAUUUUGGACAAUGGGCGAAAGCCUGAUCCAGCAAUGCCGCGUGUGUGAAGAAGGCCUUCGGGUUGUAAAGCACUUUUGUCCGGAAAGAAAACCUCGUGGUUAAUACCCGUGGGGGAUGACGGUACCGGAAGAAUAAGCACCGGCUAACUACGUGCCAGCAGCCGCGGUAAUACGUAGGGUGCAAGCGUUAAUCGGAAUUACUGGGCGUAAAGCGUGCGCAGGCGGUUCGCUAAGACAGAUGUGAAAUCCCCGGGCUUAACCUGGGAACUGCAUUUGUGACUGGCGGGCUAGAGUAUGGCAGAGGGGGGUAGAAUUCCACGUGUAGCAGUGAAAUGCGUAGAGAUGUGGAGGAAUACCGAUGGCGAAGGCAGCCCCCUGGGCCAAUACUGACGCUCAUGCACGAAAGCGUGGGGAGCA